UACGAAGGGGGCGAGCGUUGUUCGGAUUUACUGGGCGUAAAGGGCGCGUAGGCGGCCGUUUGCGUCGGAUGUGAAAGCCCGGGGCUCAACCUCGGAACGGCAUUCGAUACGGGACGGCUGGAGACCGGGAGAGGAGAGUGGAAUAGCCAGUGUAGAGGUGAAAUUCGUAGAUAUUGGCUGGAACACCGGUGGCGAAAGCGGCUCUCUGGCCCGGUUCUGACGCUGAGGCGCGAAAGCGUGGGGAGCAAACAGG
rnacentral:rRNA from 1 species